rnacentral:lncRNA from 1 species
GGAAGAUAGAACUUUGCAGGCUCGUUGACGGGAUGAGGGCCACCCUCGAAAAGAUCUGUUGCCACUCGGUUAAGAAAUCAGAAACAAGGAGCAGGAGAAAAAGCAAGACCCUGCAGCUGGAGUGGCUAGACACAGAACUGCCCUCCUCGGAAGUAUCAAAGGACCCAGCUCCUGGGGACGGCCCCCAAGGCUGCAGAAUUUAUUUUCUGGGUUCCAGCGUUCUUCCGUCACCUUCCACGCCCUCCUCUGUCAUGGCCCACAGAGCCACAAGAGCUCCUUCAGACUGGUGUUUGGAGAGAAUGGCUUAUGGAUAUCAUCUUUAACUUUGCUAAAUGCAAGUCCAUUUUGUCUUGGGCAAUACAGACCUUUCUGCCUGUUGAGGAACAACUCAGCUGUCACAUUCCCAUCUUUUUUUCCACCAUAAGGGCAACUCUUAUAGAGAGAACAUGAGGUGAUGGACCCAUAAUCUUGCUGGGGCUGAGAUCAGAGGUCACCAAAACUGAGGACCCAUGGGCCUAGUUCUGCACGGCUAUAGUCAGAGCUGAUUAGCAGCAGCCCUUUCUAAGCCAAGGGUUCUUAACCUAGAGUUCAUGGAUGUAGACGUGUGUAUAGAACUCACAUGGCCAUGAACUCGGAUGGGAAAAAAUUGUAUCUUUAUUUUUACUAACAUCUAACUGAAAUUUAGCAUUUUAUUCAAUAAUGAAUAUAGGCAAGAAACUACUGUGGUAUUAGCAGUGCCUUAAUGUGUCACCAGUAGAAGUCACAGAUGUUUUCCUAUCAUAUUACAGUGGUUGCAGAUACCUUGAAAAAUUGCUUAUAUUCACCACUACUUGAAAAUAUGGUAGUUAUUAGUGUGGCUGCUAGAUCUUCUUGUUUAAUGCAUUAAGAAGCACAUAUAUUACUAUAUCACAUGUUUGCGUGUUUUUUAAUACUUUGAUAAUUAUAUUUCUAUGUAAUUGGCUUCCUUGGUAAUUCUAUGUGUCUUAUGUUAUGCCUUUUACAGCAUUAUUCUGAGAAGGGUCCACAGGCUUCAACAGAUGCCAAAGGGGUUCACGACACACACAAAAAAAAUGGCAGAUGGAAGAGGAAACAAGGAGGAUCUCAUCAACAGCCUUCUAUGGCUUGACCUAGAAUGGACAUCAUCUUGCUUCAGCUUACAAACCAUUAGCUAGAACUGGGCACAGUUCCCUCUGCGUUCCAGGAAAUGUGAUCUUCUCCAUGUGCAAAGAUAAGAAGACAACCAGAUAUUGAUGAGAACCGGAAAUGCCUAACACAAACACACACGUACACAUACACAUCACCACUGUCUAUGUUAAGAUGUCAUGCCUCAAGAACAGUGAAGUCGACAGAGAAGGUUGAACACGAAGGCAGUCUCUGAGCUUGGAUUCCCAGUGAAUCCAGAAUAGCCAAAACAGAACUAAAAGACUUACUGUGUGCUUUUGUCAAGAUGAGGGCAAAUUCUCUUAAUUCCUUGAUUUUUCUCAAUAUUUCCUUCUCAGAUUUUUUUGUCAAGGUUUUACAUUUUAAGUAAUAAAAGAAUUUCCAAGAAGAAAGAUUGCUGCUCAC